GAUGAACGCUGGCGGCGUGCCUAAUACAUGCAAGUCGAGCGAACAGACGAGGAGCUUGCUCCUCUGACGUUAGCGGCGGACGGGUGAGUAACACGUGGAUAACCUACCUAUAAGACUGGGAUAACUUCGGGAAACCGGAGCUAAUACCGGAUAAUAUAUUGAACCGCAUGGUUCAAUAGUGAAAGACGGUUUUGCUGUCACUUAUAGAUGGAUCCGCGCCGCAUUAGCUAGUUGGUAAGGUAACGGCUUACCAAGGCAACGAUGCGUAGCCGACCUGAGAGGGUGAUCGGCCACACUGGAACUGAGACACGGUCCAGACUCCUACGGGAGGCAGCAGUAGGGAAUCUUCCGCAAUGGGCGAAAGCCUGACGGAGCAACGCCGCGUGAGUGAUGAAGGUCUUCGGAUCUUAAAACUCUGUUAUUAGGGAAGAACAAAUGUGUAAGUAACUAUGCUCGUCUUGACGGUACCUAAUCAGAAAGCCACGGCUAACUACGUG
rnacentral:rRNA from 1 species